rnacentral:rRNA from 1 species
CACGUAGGCACCAAGCGUUGUCCGGAUUUAUUGGGCGUAAAGAGCUCGUAGGCGGUUCAGUAAGUCGGGUGUGAAAACUUUGGGCUUAACCCAAAGCGUGCAUCCGAUACUGCUGUGACUUGAGUUCGGUAGGGGAGUGGGGAAUUCCUAGUGUAGCGGUGAAAUGCGCAGAUAUUAGGAGGAACGACCGGUGGCGAAGGCGCCACUCUGGACCGUAACUGACGCUGAGACACGAAAGCGUGG